AUUGAACGCUGGCGGCAGGCCUAACACAUGCAAGUCGAACGAGUGGCGGACGGGUGAGUAAUGUCUGGGAAACUGCCUGAUGGAGGGGGAUAACUACUGGAAACGGUAGCUAAUACCGCAUACCAUCGGAUGUGCCCAGAUGGGAUUAGCUAGUAGGUGGGGUAAAGGCUCACCUAGGCGACGAUCCCUAGCUGGUCUGAGAGGACGACCAGCCAAAACGGGAAUGGGGCACGGUCCAGAAUCCUAAGGGAGGCAGCAGUAGGGAAUCUUUGGAAAAGGGGGGAAACCUGACCGAGCAAAGCCGGGGGAGGGAAGAAGGGUUUCGGGUCGUAAAGCUCGUUGAUAGGGAAGACGGUACUUGAAGAGGAAGGAACGGCUAACUACGUGCCAGCAGCCGCGGUAAUAC
rnacentral:rRNA from 1 species